rnacentral:tRNA from 1 species
GCCAGAGUGGCGGAAUGGCAUACGCGGGCGACUCAAAAUCGUUUGGCCGAAAGGUCGUGAGGGUUCGACUCCCUUCUCUGGUA